GGGGUUGUAGCUCAGUGGUAGAGCACUUGCCUAGCAUGUGUGGGUUCAAUUCUCAGCACCA
rnacentral:tRNA from 1 species